CCAGACUCCUACGGGAGGCAGCAGUGAGGAAUAUUGGUCAAUGGUCGGGAGACUGAACCAGCCAAGCCGCGUGAGGGAGGAAGGUACAGAGUAUCGUAAACCUCUUUUGUCAGGGAACAAAGGCGGGGACGUGUCCCCGGAUGAGUGUACCUGAAGAAAAAGCAUCGGCUAACUCCGUGCCAGCAGCCGCGGUAAUACGGAGGAUGCGAGCGUUAUCCGGAUUUAUUGGGUUUAAAGGGUGCGCAGGCGGGCUUGUAAGGCGGCGGCAAAAGCCGGGGGCCCCCCCCCGGCCCGCCGUUGAAACUGGCAGUCUCGAGUUGGAGAGAAGUAUGCGGAAUGCGCGGUGUAGCGGUGAAAUGCAUAGAUAUCGCGCAGAACUCCGAUUGCGAAGGCAGCAUGCCGGCGCCACACUGACGCUGAGGCACGAAAGCGUGGGUAUCGAACAGGAUUAGAUACCCCAGUACG
rnacentral:rRNA from 1 species